rnacentral:rRNA from 1 species
GGCUCUUUGAAGUUUCAUUAUAAAGAGUCGGACCUGCCCACUGAAUUUUUUAACGGCCGCGGUACUCUGACCGUGCAAAGGUAGCAUAAUCAUUUGCCUUAUAAUUGAAGGCUAGUAUGAAUGGUUUGACGAGAAUAUAGCUGUCUCUAUAUAAUUUUAUAGAAUUUUAUUUUGAAGUGAAGAAGCUUGAAUAAUAUUGAUAGACAAGAAGACCCUAUCGAGCUUUAAAUUAUUUAAUAGGAGUAUUAAAUAUAUUUUAGAAAAUUGUCUAUUAUAGAUUUUGGUUGGGGCGACUUAGGAACAUUUAAAGCUUCCUAUAUAAAAAUAUAAAACAAUUGAUCCAAAAUUUUUUGAUUAAGGAAAUUAGUUACCGUAGGGAUAACAGCAUUAUCUUCUUUGAGAGUUCAUAUCGAAAAGAGGGUUUGUGACCUCGAUGUUGGACCAGAAUAUCCUAAAGAUGUAGCAGUCUUUAAGGGUUGGUCUGUUCGACCAUUAAAAUUCUACG